CAUUAUGUUAUCGUCAGCUCGGUCGUGAGAUGUUGGGUUAAGUCCCGCAACGAGCGCAACCCCUGCCAUUAGUUGCUACGAAAGGGCACUCUAAUGGGACUGCCGGUGACAAACCGGGGGAAGGUGGGGAUGACGUCAGGUCCUCAUGGCCCUUAUGGGUAGGGCUACACACGUCAUACAAUGGCCGGUACAGAGGGCUGCCAACCCGCGAGGGGGAGCCAAUCCCAGAAAGCCGAUCGUAGUCCGGAUCGCAGUCUGCAACUCGACUGCGCGAAGUCGGAAUCGCUAGUAAUCGCGAAUCAGAACGUCGCGGUGAAUACGUUCCCGGGCCUUGUACACACCGCCCGUGGGGCGGGGGCGGCGGGCCGGGCGCGGGGGCGGCGGGCGAA
rnacentral:rRNA from 1 species